CAACAUGCCCUGGUUCAAUAACCAGGAAGAGCACGAACCGGCAAAGGAUAAAAUCGUCUAUGUGGAGAGGAUGGUGACUGCGACUAUAACAGUGCCAGGGGACUACUACAUCAGCAAGAGCGUGGGAACCACCCACUCAUUCAAGUUUCAGGCCAAAGACGACUUUGGCGUCGUCAUGAUGCUCAGUCUAAGUCAUAACAACCUCGAGACCUUCACCUUGGUGCCUGUGGAAUGGCUGGGGCCGCAAAUACUACGCCAGGACACUAUAUUUGCAGCCAUCCAUUACGGUAGCAAACAGUGUCAAGGAGAACACUGUAGAAAUCACACUGAGAGCGGUACCCGAAGAGAAAAUUCCCUACGCCGG